rnacentral:rRNA from 1 species
AGUGAACGCUGGCGGUAGGCCUAACACAUGCAAGUCGAACGGCAGCACAGUAAGAGCUUGCUCUUACGGGUGGCGAGUGGCGGACGGGUGAGGAAUACAUCGGAGUCUACUUUUUCGUGGGGGAUAACGUAGGGAAACUUACGCUAAUACCGCAUACGACCUACGGGUGAAAGCAGGGGAUCUUCGGACCUUGCGCGAUUGAAUGAGCCGAUGUCGGAUUAGCUAGUUGGCGGGGUAAAGGCCCGCCAAGGCGACGAUCCGUAGCUGGUCUGAGAGGAUGAUCAGCCACACUGGAACUGAGACACGGUCCAGACUCCUACGGGAGGCAGCAGUGGGGAAUAUUGGACAAUGGGCGCAAGCCUGAUCCAGCCAUACCGCGUGGGUGAAGAAGGCCUUCGGGUUGUAAAGCCCUUUUGUUGGGAAAGAAAAGCAGCAGGUUAAUACCCCGCUGUUCUGACGGUACCCAAAGAAUAAGCACCGGCUAACUUCGUG